AGAGUUUGAUCCUGGCUCAGAUUGAACGCUGGCGGCAGGCCUAACACAUGCAAGUCGAGCGGCAGCACGGGUACUUGUACCUGGUGGCGAGCGGCGGACGGGUGAGUAAUGCCUAGGAAUCUGCCUGGUAGUGGGGGAUAACGUCCGGAAACGGGCGCUAAUACCGCAUACGUCCUACGGGAGAAAGUGGGGGAUCUUCGGACCUCACGCUAUCAGAUGAGCCUAGGUCGGAUUAGCUAGUUGGUGAGGUAAUGGCUCACCAAGGCGACGAUCCGUAACUGGUCUGAGAGGAUGAUCAGUCACACUGGAACUGAGACACGGUCCAGACUCCUACGGGAGGCAGCAGUGGGGAAUAUUGGACAAUGGGCGAAAGCCUGAUCCAGCCAUGCCGCGUGUGUGAAGAAGGUCUUCGGAUUGUAAAGCACUUUAAGUUGGGAGGAAGGGUACUUACCUAAUACGUGAGUAUUUUGACGUUACCGACAGAAUAAGCACCGGCUAACUCUGUGCCAGCAGCCGCGGUAAUACAGAGGGUGCAAGCGUUAAUCGGAAUUACUGGGCGUAAAGCGCGCGUAGGUGGUUUGUUAAGUUGGAUGUGAAAGCCCCGGGCUCAACCUGGGAACUGCAUCCAAAACUGGCAAGCUAGAGUAUGGUAGAGGGUGGUGGAAUUUCCUGUGUAGCGGUGAAAUGCGUAGAUAUAGGAAGGAACACCAGUGGCGAAGGCGACCACCUGGACUGAUACUGACACUGAGGUGCGAAAGCGUGGGGAGCAAACAGGAUUAGAUACCCUGGUAGUCCACCGCCGUAAACGAUGUCAACUAGCCGUUGGGAGCCUUGAGCUCUUAGUGGCGCAGCUAACGCAUUAAGUUGACCGCCUGGGGAGUACGGCCGCAAGGUUAAAACUCAAAUGAAUUGACGGGGGCCCGCACAAGCGGUGGAGCAUGUGGUUUAAUUCGAAGCAACGCGAAGAACCUUACCAGGCCUUGACAUCCAAUGAACUUUCCAGAGAUGGAUUGGUGCCUUCGGGAACAUUGAGACAGGUGCUGCAUGGCUGUCGUCAGCUCGUGUCGGUGAGAUGUUGGGUUAAGUCCCGUAACGAGCGGCAACCCUUGUCCUUAGUUACCAGCACGUUAUGGUGGGCACUCUAAGGAGACUGCCGGUGACAAACCGGAGGAAGGUGGGGAUGACGUCAAGUCAUCAUGGCCCUUACGGCCUGGGCUACACACGUGCUACAAUGGUCGGUACAAAGGGUUGCCAAGCCGCGAGGUGGAGCUAAUCCCAUAAAACCGAUCGUAGUCCGGAUCGCAGUCUGCAACUCGACUGCGUGAAGUCGGAAUCGCUAGUAAUCGCGAAUCAGAAUGUCGCGGUGAACACGUUCCCGGGCCUUGUACACACCGCCCGUAAACACCAUGGGAGUGGGUUGCACCAGAAGUAGCUAGUCUAACCUUCGGGGGGACGGUUAGCACGGUGUGGUUCAU
rnacentral:rRNA from 1 species